UUGGUCUCUUUUCUUUCUUUCAUUUUUCAUUGAGAACUUGCUGGUUAGCAAGGCUGGCCUCAGACUAACUGAUCCCCAAGAUUCUAUUCUAGCUAGGGUAACACCUCUCCUGUAAGCCCUGAAUCUGGGGGCUCUGCACAAGGCAUCAGGGACUCCUAUCUCAGAGAAACACAGACAGUGACUCCAGAAAAAUUGGGAAGUGAUGGUGUUCUCCUGAAAGUGUCAUCCACUGGUAACGUGAUCCAGUGUUUGAAACCCAGGGUUUACGUUCAGUGGUUUGCCUGCCAGCAGUCUUUCUAAUGGCUCCAAAAUUCCAAGUCCACUGGGGAAGCCAUUAUGUCUUACAGGGUGACAUGUGAGUUUUUCUCAUUCUAGAGGAAAUAAAGAAGUGGGAACGGGUACGAGAAAAUGGAAACCCUAGCAGUCCUGAGUGACUGGUACUGUCAGCUUGGUCUCUGCCUUUCAGAGGAUAAUAAAAACUUGCAAAGGUUCUCCAUUGUCUAUUGCUUCCAGGGCAAUGGUGGGAUUUGUUGAAUUUUUUUAUGUCUAAGGAGACAAACACCAGAGUAACAAAGAGAAGGAAGGAAGCAAAAUUACGCUAUAGCCGAUUGCAGUCUGAUUGAUGCUUGGUAAAUUUCAUCUGAGCAAAAAGUACUGUGUUUCAUUUUCUCCUUAAACCAUUUCCACUUGAAAUUCAGAAUUAUCUUCAGUGUUAAGAGUCAAAUGUUUGAGGCUGAGCCUUUGGGAGUCUUGAGGGAAAGGAGAUUGGAGAAAUAAAUCUUUACUAUCUGUUGGGACACCGACCACACUUCCCGGUGAUCUUGUACUUUCUUCUCUGGUUCCUACCUGCAGUGAUGGAAGUCAAUAUAUGUGCAGAAAGUGAGAGAUUCAGUUCUGAAAGCUGCCUGUCACCCUCUCUUACUUUGCUUUAGCCCUGUCCUGGCAUCUCAUAGAUGGAGACUUUGUGCUCACUUUCCUCUCCAAACGUUCAGCUCCUGUUACCUUCAAAAGCAAAGGGCAUGCUGUGCACUUGGCCUCCUGUCUCAUCAAGGGCAACUUUGCAGUUCCCUGAACUGCAGCCUCUACGGGCUGAGGUGCAGGCUGAGAAGCAACACACAGAUGUUCAAGCCCAGGCCGAGGGCUAGUCCCAGGCUGGUUAUCUGUAAAGCAAGAUUGUAAUGUGCUCCUGGGACACCCGACAGAUGUUUUUUGGAGCUGGCAUAAAGCUCUUUGUGGAGCCCCAAAAACAGCCUCCUGCCAAACCAUCUGUCUUCAUUAUGAAAAAUGGAACAAAUGUUGCUUGUCUGGUGAAGGAUUUCUACCCCAAAGAUGUGAAUAUAAGUCUCAGAUCGUCCAAGAAGAUAGCGGAAUUCGACCCUGCUAUAGCCAUCUCCCCCAGCGGGAAGUACAGUGCUGUCAAGCUUGGUCAGUAUGGAGAUUCAAAUUCAGUGACAUGUUCAGUUCAGCACAACAGUGAAACUGUGCACUCAACUGACUUUGAACAAUAUGCAGAUUCUGUCGAUAAUGUAAAACCAACAGAACCUGCAAAAAAUGACACACAAACUUCAGAGCCUUGCCACAGCCCAAGAGUCAUGAUUCAUGCCAAGAAGGUAAACACGAUGUCCCUCACAGUGCUGGGACUACGACUGCUGCUCGCCAAGACUGUUGCCAUCAAUUUUCUCUUGACUGCCAAGUUAUUCUUUUAAGGUGGGCUGGCAUGAUGAGACUGAAAGAAAUCAAAAGCUUAGAAAGAUGCUAUAUCCAAGGCUUCUAACUUCUCAGUGCUUCAAACUGACCCUUCACCACCACAUUUACACAGCUAACAAAACUAGCUUUUCUGUGAUGGCAACAAGCCUAGGUAAUCCUCCAGUCUAGAAGAAAAACAAAAGUCCUUGGGAGUGGAGUGUGCCCUGGCUUUACACGCUGCUUUAUAAAGGCACCGAAAACUAUGAAAACAGAUCCAUUCUACUUUACCCCUAUAACUGGUAUACUUUGAAAAUGGUGUUUCAUCCCUCUCUAUUUACCCAGAACUGGAAAGUGGGGACCAGUAAAUCACCAGCUUCAUUAUCCAGGGGGAAAAUGGUCUUGGGAGAGAGAACCCAUACCUUUUUAGCUAAAUGUGGAAAGCUGCUCAUCCCUAGCCAGAGCUCCCCUCCUCCUCUCCUGAGGCAGGAGGUAGGGCCCACUCUCUGUGUUUGCUCCAACAGCCACAUAGGAGAGUUUUCCUAGUAGCACUAGGGUGUGAACAAUGUUAGCACUUUCUGUUUCUCCUGAUACUUUACAAACAAAAUCACGUUUGGCUUCCUCGAUGCUCUCCAAGCAGACAAUAAAGCUUCUAAAAACGCA